CCAAAACUCUGCUACUCUGAAUAUUGACAUCUACUGUUCACCAACUUUCCUCUCUAACUUAAGCAUCGAAGGAUCUCCAUCAGACACAAAUCCGAUCAGUGUGGACGUUGUCUUGCAGAUGUUUAUUCCUGACGACAGGCAAUGAGAAGUUGACCGCAACAGAUUGGCACAUCAGGUAGGAGAGAGAAAUAAUAUUCACCAUGACGAAAACUAGAGCCCAACAUUCAACUGCAAC
rnacentral:lncRNA from 1 species